GUACAGGGUAGCCUAAUGGAUAUAGCAUCUGCCCGGUAAGCAGAACACUGUGGGUUCGUUUCCCAUCCUGAACA
rnacentral:tRNA from 1 species